rnacentral:rRNA from 1 species
CCUACGGGGGACAGCAGUGGGGAAUAUUGGGCAAUGGGCGCAAGCCUGACCCAGCAACGCCGCGUGAAGGAAGAAGGCUUUCGGGUUGGAAACUUCUUUUCUCAGGGACGAAGCAAGUGACGGUACCGGAGGAAUAAGCAACGGCUAACGACGUGCCAGCAGCCGCGGUAAUACGUAGGUGGCACGCGUUAUCCGGAUUUACUGGGUGUAACGGGCGGGUAGGCGGGAAAGCAAGUCAGAGGUGAAAACCAUGGGCUCACCCUGUGGCCUGCAUUUGAAACUGUUUUUCUUGAGUACUGGAGAGGCAGCCGGAAUUCCUCGUGUAGCGGUGACAUGCGUAGAUAUUAGGAGGAACCCCAGUGGCGAAGGCGGUCUGCUGGACAGCACCUGACGCUGAGGCGCGAACGCGUGGGGAGCAAACAGGAUUAGCUACCCCGGUAGUC